GGACAAAUAUUUUCAUUGCUUUGAUUGUGUAAUAACCAGGGCAAGCUGAACAUUCAUUAUAGUUAAGACCAUAUAUGUGUCCCCAGGCCUAUUUCUUACCCUAGGUCUGGUUUUAUAAAUGCUAAACCAA